UCCCGCCUCCUCUCAAGCAGAAACUCCAAGCGCUGAACUUAGAUCAGCUGAUUAUCUCAGCUAAUAUGCCUUGGGCUACAGGGCUUAGCACAGGAGCACUAAUAGAAGCUCCUGAAAGGAGCUUCAGGCUAUUAUUCCAGGCUCAGUGAAGGCAGGGACACCAGGUAAGAACUCAAAGAGUUCCUGUAAUGUUGCAUUGGUUAUGGUGCUUGGAUUGUUCUUUUGAAAUGUGCAAUUAUUCUACAAUGAAAAUAAAAUAGCAUUGACUAUUUAAGAAGUGUGUCUUUAUUCUCUGUUUAGGGUUCCCAUGCUUCCACGUAAAGCAUGC